GACGAACCGUCCAAACGUUAUUCGGAAUUAUUGGGCUUAAAGGGUGCGUAGGCUGUGCAGUAAGUUGGGUGUGAAAUCCCUCGGCUCAACCGAGGAACUGCGCCGAAUACUGCUGUGCUAGAGGAAGAUAGGGGUAAGCGGAACUGAUGGUGGAGCGGUGAAAUGCGUUGAUAUCAUCAGGAACACCGGUGGCGAAGGCGGCUUACUGGAUCUUUUCUGACGCUGAUGCACGAAAGCCAGGGGAGCGAACGGG
rnacentral:rRNA from 1 species